rnacentral:rRNA from 1 species
AACGAACGCUGGCGGCAUGCCUAACACAUGCAAGUCGAACGAGACCUUCGGGUCUAGUGGCGCACGGGUGCGUAACGCGUGGGAACCUGCCCUUAGGUUCGGAAUAACUCCCCGAAAGGGGUGCUAAUACCGGAUAAUGUCUUCGGACCAAAGAUUUAUCGCCUUUGGAUGGGCCCGCGUUGGAUUAGCUAGUUGGUAGGGUAAAAGCCUACCAAGGCGACGAUCCAUAGCUGGUCUGAGAGGAUGAUCAGCCACACUGGGACUGAGACACGGCCCAGACUCCUACGGGAGGCAGCAGUGGGGAAUAUUGGACAAUGGGCGAAAGCCUGAUCCAGCAAUGCCGCGUGAGUGAUGAAGGCCUUAGGGUUGUAAAGCUCUUUUACCGGGAUGAUAAUGACAGUACCGGGAGAAUAAGCUCCGGCUAACUCCGUG